GCCUGGGUGGCUCAGCAGUUGAGCAUCUGUCUUUGGCUCAGGGCGUGAUCCCAGAGUCUGGGAUCAAGUCCCACACCAGGCU
rnacentral:tRNA from 1 species